rfam:Firmicutes bacterium CAG:272 genomic scaffold, scf173
AGAACAUGACAGGGGCGCCUUGUGGCUGAGAUGACGGAGUUUAUCCGCGGUCCCUCUAACCUGAUAUGGGUAAUGCCAACGUAGGGAGCUUAUGUUAUAUACCGU